rnacentral:rRNA from 1 species
GAUGAACGCUGGCGGCGUGCCUAAUACAUGCAAGUCGAGCGAACGGACGAGAAGCUUGCUUUUCUGAUGUUAGCGGCGGACGGGUGAGUAACACGUGGAUAACCUACCUAUAAGACUGGGAUAACUUCGGGAAACCGGAGCUAAUACCGGAUAAUAUUUUGAACCGCAUGGUUCAAAAGUGAAAGACGGUCUUGCUGUCACUUAUAGAUGGAUCCGCGCUGCAUUAGCUAGUUGGUAAGGUAACGGCUUGCCAAGGCAACGAUGCAUAGCCGACCUGAGAGGGUGAUCGGCCACACUGGAACUGAGACACGGUCCAGACUCCUACGGGAGGCAGCAGUAGGGAAUCUUCCGCAAUGGGCGAAAGCCUGACGGAGCAACGCCGCGUGAGUGAUGAAGGUCUUCGGAUCGUAAAACUCUGUUAUUAGGGAAGAACAUAUGUGUAAGUAACUGUGCACAUCUUGACGGCACCUAAUCAGAAAGCCACGGCUAACUACGUG